rnacentral:misc_RNA from 1 species
GGAAGUAAAAGUCUAACAAGGUUACCGUAGGUGAACCCGCGGAAGGAUCAUUAUUGUAUAACCGAGGUGCGAGGGCUGUCGCUGACCCGAAAGGUCGUGCACGCCCGAGUGCCCUCACACACAUCCAUCUCACCCCUAUGUGCACCACCGCGUGGGUCCCCCUUUGGCUUGUUCGGAGGGGGGCUUACGUUUUCACACAAACUUUGUAUGCAGUGUAGAAUGUAUUUUUUGUUUUUGCGAUCACGCAAUCAAUACAACUUUCAACAACGGAUCUCUUGGCUCUC